rnacentral:lncRNA from 1 species
CCCAGCGUCUUUCAGGGUGGCGCUCUCCCAGCUUCCCAGUGUGGUAAGGGUAAGCAUUCUCUCCCCUCAACGUUUUAGGCCCACUGUUACUAGCCCCGGGGAGCUGCACCUUCCUCUGUUGCCCUGCAAUCUGGCCACACCUUUGUAAAUAUUCCCUUACUUAACCCUUCUACAGCUAUCCUCAUUUUAAUAUGCCAACAGUUUCCUACAGGAGCCCUGAGUGGAGGGCAGUGGCACGAUCUCCGCUCACUGCAACCUCCGCCUCCUGGGUUCAAGCAAUUCUGCUGCCUCAGCCUCCCGAGUAGCUGGGAUUACAGGCACCUGCCACCACGCCCAGCUAAUUUUUGUAUUUUUAGUAGAGACGGGGUUUCACCAUCUUGGCCAGGCUGGUCUUGAACUCCUGACCUCCUGAUCCACCCACCUCAGUCUCCCAAAGUGCUGGGAUUACAGGUGUGAGCCAUCGCGCCUGGCCUUAUUCUCACAUUUUCAUCUAGAGUCCAGUGACCCACUCUCUCUCUGGGAGCCUCUUUCACAAAAGGCAACUCUUUUUUUUUUUUAGAAAAUUGUCCAUUUGGGCCGGGCGCAGUGGCUCACACCUAUAAUCCCAGCACUUUGGGAGGCCAAGGCGGGCGGAUCACGAGGUCAGGAGAUCGAGACCAUCCUGGCUAACACAGUGAAACCCCGUCUCUACUAAAAAUAAACCCUGUCUCUACCAAAAAUACAAAAAUUAGCUGGGCAUGGUGGGGGGCACCUGUAAUCCCAGCUACUUGGG